GCUGGGCAUGGUGGCGUGUGCCUGUAAUCCCAGCUACUCAGGAGGCUGAGGCAGGAGAAUUGCCUGAACCCAGGAGGCGGGGGUUGCGGUGAGCCGAGAUUGCGCCAUUGCACUCCAGCCUGGGUAACAAGAGCGAAACUCUGUCUCGAAAAAAAAAAAAAAGACAGAGUUUCAGCUCUGUCACCCAGGCUGGAAUACAGUGGCACAAUCUUGGCUCACUGCAACCUCUGCCUCCAGGGUUCAAGUGAUUCUUCUGCCUCA
rnacentral:sRNA from 1 species